rnacentral:tRNA from 1 species
GCCCGGGUAGCUCAACAGCAGAGCAGUUGCUUUGUAAGCAUCAGGUUGGGGGUGCAAGUCCUCUCCCGGGCU